UACGUAGGGGGCGAGCGUUGUCCGGAGUUACUGGGCGUAAAGCGCCUGUAGGCGGUCCACCAAGUUUGGGGUGACAGUUGCCGACUUAAUCGGCAAAGUGCCUCAAAGACUGGCGGACUUGAGGGCCACAGAGGGACAUGGAACUCCAGGUGUAGUGGUGAAAUUCGUAGAUAUUGGGAAGAACACCGGUGGCGAAGGCGGCUCACUGGCUCGUAACUGACGCUCAGGCGCGACAGCGUGGGGAUCAAACAGG
rnacentral:rRNA from 1 species